GACAGAGGAGGCAAGUGUUGUUCGGAAUCAUUGGGCUUAAAGCGCGCGUAGGCGGCCUUGUAAGUGUCUUGUGAAAUCCCACGGCCCACCCGUGGAACUGCAGGGCAAACUGCAAGACUUGAGGUCGGUAGAGGCGCCUGGAACUCUAGGUGGAGCGGUGAAAUGCGUAGAUAUCUAGGGGAACGCCGGAGGCGAAAGCGGGGCGCUGGGCCGAUUCUGACGCGGAUGCGCGAAAGCGUGGGGAGCAAACAGG
rnacentral:rRNA from 1 species